UUUUUGACCGAGUUUUGUUUGACGAUAUUUCUCUUGUGAUGACACAAACGUUCUGGAAAACAUUCCCUAAACCUUGGCUCUUUUCUCACUUUCCAUGCUUGAUGUUCUAACUGUCCUGACACUUCUUGUCCAGAAAGGUCCUCCUUCAACACUCAAUUUCUCAAAGUACUGAUUCUGAGUAUGUUCUAGUACAAAACCUCUUUGCUGCUUCUACUCAGCCACAAUCAUCAUCAUCAUCACUGGAGUGUUCAACUUCUGAGGCAAGAACUGAAUACUGUUUUUCAGCACUAGAAUGGUUAACAGCUGGCACGAUAUUUUUAAGUUAGCUAUGUCAAUUAUUAUGUCAAUAUUUCAACUUUUCCACUGGCUUGGGAGUUUAGUGCUGCUUUUGUUGCUUUUCCAUUCUAAUGUUCUGAACCCUCUUGAGCAACAUCCCUCUGCCUCCACUCUCACAUUUUCCCCUUUGUUCAGCUUUUUAAGAAACCACUUGCACUUGUAUUGUGAGUGUAAUCUAUGGCAGAAAUAUUAGCUGUAGAUUUUAUAGCUGUAUAAAAUCUGGUAUAAAUAUCACAACUCAGUCUUAAUCACCAAAUUUUUCAAUAUACCUCCAGUGUCAAUGAUUACACUAUUUUAAAUAUGAAAAGGUCAGUUGUGGUACAGCAUUUUCUCAUUUGGAGAGAUUUUCUUGGACUACAGAUGCUUUGGAGAAAUUAGUAUCUGAAACCCGGACUGUCCACCUGGAAUGUUUCUUAAUUACAACAAAGAACAGGCUGUUUCUGUCAGCUCAGACUAGGAAGAAUGGAGUUGCUCCCUUCAUCAUUGCUUUGAUAAACAGAUGGCCUGUGGCCACUUCUCCAGUGUGGAGCAUAUCAUGGCUGGGAAUGGAGCUGGUUCAAUGCAGGAACUGCCUUCUUGUCACCUCCAUGGCAGAAACGAGCUACAGGCAACAGGUUGGCCCUGACUCCAGUGCUAGGAAUUGGCACCUUCAGAGCAGGAGAUGUCAGGAAAAAGACUCUUUGUACUGGAGUUGAUGCUUCUCCAUUGCAUUACCACAGUAUAAAGGUGUAAAAUGGUGCUGAUUCUGUCACAUCUUCACUCUUCUUUCAUUCUGAUCCAGUGUUGAGCCUCUCACUACAAGAAACACAUUGAGGUGCUGGAGCAUGUCCAGAGAAGAGCAACAAAGCUGGUGAAGGGUCUAAAGAACAAGUCCUGCAAGGAGUGAUGAAGGAGCUGUGGGUGUGUAACCUGGAGAAAAGGAGGGUUGGGGGACCUUAUCAACCUCUACAACUACCCGACAGUAGCCAGGUGGGGGUCAGCCUCUUCUCCCAGACACCAUCUUAGUGAAGUGACAACAAACAGUGUAAGGACAUUCCUAAAGGUAUCAGAAGUACCCAGCUGAAAAAAAUUCCUGAAUGAGGCACUGGAAUAAUGGAUAAUGUUUACACAAUGGAUGUACUAAGGAUGUUCUUCCUAUAAUGGCAACUUUCAAGCAAAAGGAGUAUGUCAAAAUGUCAAAAAUUUUGGAGACUACAGCUCUAAGGAAUAAGAUUUCAACAACUGUCUUGGUUAUUUAAGGACAUUUUUCAUAAGUUUGCACCGAAACCACGUGUCCACACUUCUUUCUAAGAUGACACCCCCUUCAGAGAAGGCAUGGAGAUUACUCAGAGGCAGGUCCUGACCAGUAUAACUGUGCACAAGCAAGAAAAGGGGAUGGAGGGAGAGUCAUCUGGCUGCUUUUUGGAUGGGGAAGCAUCACUUUGGUAGCCUUAGAAACAAAAACCAUAAGCACAGCUGGCAACCACCUGGCCCCAGGCUAUGCCUUGCCCUUCUCAGAGCACAGCAGGAGAGGAUGUGGGCAGUGUUGAACAGAGAUCCCACAGGAGAACCUGAGCUCUGCAGGAAGUGGUGUCUGACUCAACAGCGAGGCAGCAGAGCUCAGGGCACUGCACUAGUUCAGGGACUAGGGCUUGAAUGUGAUUUAACACAUACAGCCCAGACUAGAGUCAUCAUCAAAGACUUUGUGGCUGCUCUUGGGAAAAGGCCUAUUCCCAGUGACUUGGUGACAGGCAAAGAGCUGCUGUUUGUACUUCCAGAGCUUAGUCACUUUGGAAGUUUAAGCAAGAAGCAAGCAUUCUUCAAUUCCUGUCCUGAUAAACCAAGUGAUGCUGUUCUGAAUGGUUUCUCAGCACUGCCUCGGGGAACACCAUUCCAGUAGAGAUAAAGCUUAUGUGCAUAUCAUUUCUUCAGUGACCCCUU